GUUUCCAACAAGCCUGCAGGACCUGGAAAACACACACAUCUCUGCUUUAGGAGGAAAGUAUUGCCAUGGCCUCAGCAUCCACUGGUUCAGCUUACUCAGCUUCUCCUCAGGGGGAUUUCUAGAGGAAGGCAAUCGGCACUGCGGCUAAAGCAGCUUCCCUUCAGCAGUGAACAAAUAGUCCCUGACCUCCAGAAGAGGGGCAAACGCACUUUGCUAGAAUGAGCUAUUUCACACAGUCUGUGGUUAGGCCUGGUCCCUGUCCUGCUGAAAGCGGGGGGAGGAGAAUCAAGGCUUCCAGUCCGAUGUGUUCAUAGCCCCUAAUUCUCCAGAUCCCGUGGCUGACUUUUCAGGCUUGAGGGGUUUUGUGGGAUUUAAAGGGGUUUUCCUCUUCGUGAAAAUUAUAUUUCUAAUAAAGUUAAAAACGCGGCUCAGUGCUGGUUGUACAGCACUUCUUCUCAAUUUAUUUGCCGAGUUUGUUUUCCCUUGCUCCUUAUCUGCUUAAAAUCAAGAACACCUUGGCCAAAAAAUUUGCAGUUUUGUGGGUUUUACAAGCCGAGAGUGCCCAGAGGCACUGCCUAUUGCCCUGACAGAGUGGUGGAGGAUAAAAGGAGGAUUCCUCCCUCUUCCUGAUCCCAGGAGGGUCUCCCGGGGACUGCCAUGAAUGGAGCCACACCGAGUGCUCGAUCUUCUUGUUGCUCAGAGGGCCUUGCGUGGCUGUGAGGUGACAAAGGCUCUGCGCUUCAGGAAGAAGAAAAGCGGAAGGAAACUGUGCAAGACGGGGGGUUCCCAGCCUAUGACACUCUCCUUAAACACGGCCGCGGGAGGGCCCUCACAAGCCAGGCCGGAUCACGUAAGCUGCGAGGGGCACGCAAAGCACACAAGAGCCAUCUUCUGCCCCCUUUUCUGCACCACUUACAUCAUCUGCAGGGAGUUUUGCCAUUAUCUGCACUGUAGUGCUUGAAACGCAGUCAGGUUUGAGCUACAGGUGGAAAGAUGUCACUGCCCAUCUGACCACAAGAGACCUGAAGGGAAAUCCGAGUCAGAACAUUAUGGAAGAGCAGAAAACAACACACUAGCCAGCACAACUAACCUGUCUCAGCAGCUCCAGAGUACUUGUCAAGACCAGAGGGAGGGAGCUGGAAUCUUUCACCAGCUGGAACAAUUCCAGGCAGCAACCACAGCUCUUGAGUGCAGCCCUUUCAAACACCCAUUUUGUGCAAACGGAACAACGCACAUGCACAAGGAGCUUCAUGCUCUCUGUACGGCUGGGAAUGGGCCGGCACCUACAGAGCUGGCUAAAGGAGCAUCUGCAGGAUGGCACUUCAGUGCUGGAGAGUGCCCUGCGGCAGCCAUGUGGGUGAUGUUGGCAAAAAACAAUUGUUUAUUCUCCUAGGAAACGAUCCAUCUGCAAAUGUUUCAAAUACCAACACAAUAUAACCGCAGCAACCCACAGUACGUGGCACAACCAAAUCGAGGGGUGUGCUUUCUGUACUCUGACGGGACGAUGAAACAGCAGCCUGCGCUAACUGGGUCCUACCCCUCCCUGUUUCCUCAAGAUCUUAUCCUUCUCCGUUCUACAAGCACUGCAGCCCAUGCAACCGAGUGAUGGGCCAGACAAAGGUUAAUCCUGCAGCAAAGGGAUGAGCAGUGGCCCAGAUGGGUUCCCUGAACAGUGUCAGCUUGCAGUCACAGGGCUGCUGGUGCUGGCCCAGUGUGGGACCAAGCGGUGACUGAAGGCAGCUGUUUCUGACUCUGUGGACCUGUGCCCACCCUUGCCUGUUCACACCAAGAGCCUAAUGUCACACACCUGAGCCUAGAAGCUCAAACAAGGCCCUUUGCCCACUCACAGCACAUCUUGGUGUUUCCAGUGCUUUUGAAAGCUCCAUGUUCCUGGCAGAGCUGGAUUACAGCAUGGAUCUAUCCACAUGCAUUGAUUCUUGUUACAAGGCACAAGUGUUCAUGUACUAUAAUGGUAUGUGGUUUGAUUUGCCUCCAAAGUGGGAAAGCAUCACACACUCGUUAUUAUCUGUAUUUGAAAUAAAGACUGUAACAUCGUUUUGCAAAUAUGCACUUCAUCAACAGAAGUAGUUUCUCAAUCAUCCUGCUGAACUCAUUGCACAUGCUUUUAUUUAUCAAUAUGUUCAGCAUCAGUGAGCAGAAAAAUCCAAUCUGUUGUCUUUUUCUCUAUUAGUAACUAAAUUCGCCUCUUGAAAUUGACCUCUGCUACUUCAUUCCUGUAAUAUAGACCACUUUUAAUGCUACUUAUCAUUAAUUUGUUUUAUCUUCCUUUUUUUGACAGCCUUAUUCCCUUUUCCUUACCUGCAUACCAGGACAUUCACACCAUCUGGGUCUGGUUUUUUCCUUCCCCCUCCAGGCUUAUUUUGCAGCCCAUCUCUGUAACUCCUGACUUUGAACCUAUGGACCAUUAAUGCACUUUAUACAGAUGUCUCCUGAUGAACUACCUACACAAGAGCCCAUGUCUGUUUCCUGCGUUGCAGUGAGAAAGAUGUAGGUGUCAGUGCAAAGUACUCAAAGUAGAAGAAAGAGUUUAAAAAAUUACUUCCUGCUAAGUACUCUUGUCACCCAUGGGAUAUAACUAUUUUUUGCACUUCCAAAGCCAAUUCUACACUAUUUAGUACUUUAUUUACUUGCUUUUUAGUUACUAGGUAAGAGAGGUUAGUAAUGGAAACUUCUCCUGGAGAUAGGAAGGGUGAACAUCAUCACCUGAUCUUCUAAAAACUAUUCAACAAACAUUUCAUGUGUGCAGACACCCACCAGGUGAAGAAACCAGGAGCUACAGGCUGAAAAAUCCACUGGAGAUUGAGGUUUUGGGCAACUUGCCACUACCUUGCAGCAAGUCAGGCAGCCUUCCUGGUCGUCACUGAAAAUCCUCCCUUCUCUCCCAUCCUUUCUGCUAACAGCUUUGACUCCAGCAAUCUCAGCCUGCUUCCUGUUACCUUCAGGGGCAGUGAGUAACUAAGCUAACCUGGUGGCCUAUUUUCAAGGUUCACCACAUCCUUAGAUGAGAAACGCUUUUUGUUUUUUUUUCUGUCAGCAGGCAUUUCCAAAUACUGUUAACUGAAACGAGGCCAACAUUCAAUGCAAAUAAAUUUCUUCACAGUGCCCUAUAAGUGUGCAGGACUACAACUAGUUUCAGAGACAGAGACAGAAAAGGAAAAGAAAGAAAAGCUGCCCAUCCCACUUGUGCUAAAACUCAGCACAAGGCAGCUGCUAUCCCCUCGGGCAGCCAACUUGCUGCAGGUUUUCUUGAUACCUUGUUGAAAGUUCUGGCUUCCUAAAUGACCUAACAGUGCACUGCCCAGAGAAACCCCCUGCCUAGCCAGCCACACCAGCCCGCAGUUAGAUCCCAUGGAAGAGGCUGUCUAUGGAACACGAGAACUAAUAUCCCGUCCUUCCCUGAGGAAAGUACUUACUUACGAGGGAGAAUUUUGACUGCCACUCCUACCAGGUGUGCCACCAGUUUAACCAGCCCCUCCUUAUAGAUCCUGUGCUGCACUGCCCCCUGUGCUGGACUAUUACUGCGAGACCAGCAUCAAGGUUAAACCAGUGUGCACACUGAGCUAUUGUUCUGGCUGGGUUUUGUCGUUUUGGUUUUUUAAACAUAAGCUUGUUUCCAUAUCAGGUUCCCUGGCUAGCCCUGGAAAUUGCUGGGCUACACAGGGGUUACAGGAACAGGGGAACUGAGGACAGUAACAGCACUGUCCCCAAAGAAACCUUCCUCAGAGGAGAUGGGAGUAGUCUUGAUGCUGCCCAAGAGAAGGAUAGAGUCACCUCCUGACAAAGGCAAACACAACUUUGGCGAGCAAGGUGUCAUCAGAUAGGUUUAAGUCAAAACUAGCCAAGGGGAUAAUGAGCUAUGGAAAGUCCUGUUCCUUUGGUGAUGCAGGCUGUGUUUUCACAGCGGCUUAAAGCAGAGGCAGUGCAAUCCCAUUUCCCUCUUCCCUCUUUUACACCUGCAGUACAGCAAAUUUCAUCCCAGAGUAAGACGACUCAGGUCACUUA